rnacentral:rRNA from 1 species
CCUACGGGUGGCAGCAGUCGAGAAUCAUUCACAAUGGGGGAAACCCUGAUGGUGCGACGCCGCGUGGGGGAAUGAAGGUCUUCGGAUUGUAAACCCCUGUCAUGUGGGAGCAAAUUAAAAAGAUAGUACCACAAGAGGAAGAGACGGCUAACUCUGUGCCAGCAGCCGCGGUAAUACGGAGGUCGCAAGCGUUGUCCGGAAUCACUGGGCGUAAAGCGUGCGUAGGCGGUUUAGUAAGUCGUGUGUGAAAGGCGCGGGCUCAACCCGCGGACGGCACAAGAUACUGCGAGACUAGAGUGAAGGAGAGGGAACCGGAAUUCUCGGUGUAGCAGUGAAAUGCGUAGAUAUCGGGAGGAACACUCGUGGCGAAGGCGGGUUCCUGGACAUUAACUGACGCUGAGGCACGAAGGCAAGGGGAGCGAAAGGGAUUAGAUACCCUAGUAGUC